GCGGGUGUCGUAUAGUGGUUAGUACACCUCGUUGUGGCCGUGGAGACGGGAGUUCGAUUCUCCCCACCCGCU